ACGGGUGAGUAACACGUGGGAACGUGCCCUUUGGUUCGGAACAACUCAGGGAAACUUGAGCUAAUACCGGAUGUGCCCUUCGGGGGAAAGAUUUAUCGCCAUUGGAGCGGCCCGCGUAGGAGUAGCUAGUUGGUGGGGUAAAGGCCCACCAAGGCUACGAUCCUUAACUGGUCUGAGAGGAUGAUCAGCCACAUUGGGACUGAGACACGGCCCAAACUCCUACGGGAGGCAGCAGUGGGGAAUCUUGCGCAAUGGGCGAAAGCCUGACGCACCCGUGCCGCGUGAAUGAUGAAGGUCUUAGGAUUGUAAAAUUCUUUCACCGGGGACGAUUAUGACGGUACCCGGAAAAAAAACCCCGGCUAACUUCGUGCCAGCAGCCGCGGUAAUACGAAGGGGGCUAGCGUUGCUCGGAAUUACUGGGCGUAAAGGGAGCGUAGGCCGAUAGUUUAGUCAGAGGUGAAAGCCCAGGGCUCAACCUUGGAAUUGCCUUUGAUACUGGCUAUCUUGAGUACGGAAGAGGUAUGUGGAACUCCGAGUGUAGAGGUGAAAUUCGUAGA
rnacentral:rRNA from 1 species